rnacentral:rRNA from 1 species
CAGCAGUGGGGAAUUUUGGACAAUGGGGGCAACCCUGAUCCAGCCAUUCCGCGUGAGUGAAGAAGGCCUUCGGGUUGUAAAGCUCUUUCGGCAGGAACGAAACGGUGGAAGCUAAUAUCUUCUGCUAAUGACGGUACCUGAAGAAGAAGCACCGGCUAACUACGUGCCAGCAGCCGCGGUAAUACGUAGGGUGCGAGCGUUAAUCGGAAUUACUGGGCGUAAAGCGUGCGCAGGCGGUUUCGUAAGACAGAUGUGAAAUCCCCGGGCUUAACCUGGGAACUGCGUUUGUGACUGCGAGACUCGAGUGUGGCAGAGGGGGGUGGAAUUCCACGUGUAGCAGUGAAAUGCGUAGAGAUGUGGAGGAACACCGAUGGCGAAGGCAGCCCCCUGGGUUAACACUGACGCUCAUGCACGAAAGCGUGGGGAGCAAACAGGAUUAGAUACCCUGGUAGUCCACGCCCUAAACGAUGCGAACUAGGUGUUGGAGAAGGAGACUUCUUUAGUACCGUAGCUAACGCGU